rnacentral:rRNA from 1 species
GUGAGUAAUACAUAGGUAACCUGCCCCUGUGCGGGGGAUAACAGGAGGAAACUCCUGCUAAUACCGCAUAGCCAUGAGCACCGCAUGGAGCUCAUGCCAAAUAUCCUUUCGGGGAUAGCGCAGGGAUGGACCUAUGGCGCAUUAGCUUGUUGGCGGGGCAACGGCCCACCAAGGCAACGAUGCGUAGCCGGCCUGAGAGGGCGGACGGCCACAUUGGGACUGAGACACGGCCCAGACUCCUACGGGAGGCAGCAGUAGGGAAUUUUCGGCAAUGGGGGAAACCCUGACCGAGCAACGCCGCGUGAGCGAAGAAGGCCUUCGGGUCGUAAAGCUCUGUUGUAAAGGAAGAACGGCGCAUACAGGAAAUGGUAUGCGAGUGACGGUACUUUACCAGAAAGCCACGGCUAACUACGUGCCAGCAGCCGCGGUAAUACGUAGGUGGCGAGCGUUAUCCGGAAUCAUUGGGCGUAAAGAGGGAGCAGGCGGCCGCAAGGGUCUGUGGUGAAAGACCGAAGCUAAACUUCGGUAAGCCAUGGAAACCGGGCGGCUAGAGUGCGGAAGAGGAUCGUGGAAUUCCAUGUGUAGCGGUGAAAUGCGUAGAUAUAUGGAGGAACACCAGUGGCGAAGGCGACGGUCUGGGCCGCAACUGACGCUCAUUCCCGAAAGCGUGGGGAGCAAAUAGGAUUAGAUACCCUAGUAGUCCACGCCGUAAACGAUGGUCACUAAGUGUCGGGGGUCAAACCCCGGUGCUGCAGUCAACGCAAUAAGUGACCCGCCUGAGUAGUACGUUCGCAAGAAUGAAACUCAAAGGAAUUGAC